rnacentral:tRNA from 1 species
GGUUGUAGCUCAGAGGUAGAGUGUUCGCCUAGCAUGUGUGAGACCCUGGGUUCAAUCCUCUGCACCA